UUGAAGUUGAUUCGGGUUGUCGCUGGCUCUCCGGAGCAUGUGCACGCUCGUUCAUAUUCAUUCUCUCUUGUGCAUCUUUAGCUAGACUAUGAAUACCUCUCGAGUGAAAAUCUCGGAUGGAGGGUUGCGUUCUGAUGUGUGCUUCCCUUGCAUUUUCAUAGUCUAUGUUCUUUAUACACCCUUCGUAUGUCUUGAAUGUGUUUUUGUGGGUCUUUGACCUAUAAAAUCUAGUA
rnacentral:misc_RNA from 1 species